GGGCCGGUAGAUCAAAGGAAGAUCGCCGCCUUCGCAAGGCGGAGGCUCCGGGUUCGAGUCCCGGCCGGUCCA
rnacentral:tRNA from 1 species